rnacentral:rRNA from 1 species
GUGGGGAAUAUUGGACAAUGGGCGCAAGCCUGAUCCAGCCAUGCCGCGUGAGUGAUGAAGGCCUUAGGGUUGUAAAGCUCUUUCAGUAGGGAAGAUAAUGACGGUACCUACAGAAGAAGCCCCGGCUAACUUCGUGCCAGCAGCCGCGGUAAUACGAAGGGGGCUAGCGUUGUUCGGAUUUACUGGGCGUAAAGCGCACGUAGGCGGAAUGUUAAGUCAGAGGUGAAAUCCUGGAGCUCAACUCCAGAACUGCCUUUGAUACUGGCAAUCUCGAGUCCGGAAGAGGUGAGUGGAACUCCUAGUGUAGAGGUGGAAUUAGUAGAUAUUAGGAAGAACACCAGUGGCGAAGGCGGCUCACUGGUCCGGUACUGACGCUGAGGUGCGAAAGCGUGGGGAGCAAACAGGAUUAGAAACCCUUGUAGUCC